AUGUUCCCGAAGACCAGCAUGUUGUCAGAGAGGCACAGUGUGUCCCCCCACCCCAUCGCCCAGGGCCUGCGGACCCUGCGGAGUAUGGCUGGCAGGGAGGCCCGGGGCUUGGAACAAAGGUUGCACCAGGCCCCACAUGGUCUCGGCAAGUCAGCUCUGGCCACCAGCUGCUCCAGGAAGAUGAAACCGCCCAAGGCUGUCCCCAGCCUCAGUGGCUUUGCAUCUGAGAUGGCAGCACUGAGGAAGGCGUUCCUCAUGCGGCCCAGCUGCCCCCAGUUCAGCACUAAGGCGACGUCCGUGUCCCAUCUGGGCUCGGGAUCCUCCAUCCACCUGCCCAGGGUGUUGGGCAGCUGCUCCAAGGGCCAGAGGGGGACAGAGGACUGGCUGCUGGAGAGGCGGGCCUCGGACCGAAGCUCAGAUGGGCGCCCCCUCCUGGGCAGCAAGAGUGCCUGUGAGCUGGGCAUGUGGAGGAGGAGCUCGCUCCAGAUCCCCAGUCCUGCGCACAGCUGGUGGGUCCCUGGCCAGAAGCUGCCUUGGUACAUCUCCAUCAUCCAGGAGAAGGACCGCUCCCUGCUAUCGCUGGGAGAGGAGGUCCAGCGUUUCUCCAAGCUGGAGACGCAGGUCCAGAAGAAAGACCGGGAAAUCCAAAUGCUGCAGAGGGAGAUGGAGGCCCUGCAGAAGCAGCUAAAAUGCAUCAUCCGAAGUAAAGGCCUCGAGACACCGCCGCUCCUGUCCUGGAGGGAGUCGACCUGGGAGAAAGUGGGGCCACUGCUGGGGAGGCUGAGCCUCCUGAGGACCACCCACACUGACCAGGAGGAUGAGCUGCAGCCGGAGCAGAUGCAAGGAGACGACACCCUGGCUGAGCUCGGUAGGGCACUGUCCCUGGAGCUGGGAGGUGAUGAGGAGGACCAGGGCCCAGGCACAGAGCCUAAGACGGCCAGGGAUGCUGGAGCAAGGGACAGUGCCGGCAGGUCAGGGUCUGUGCAGGAGGAGGGUGCAGAAGAGGAGGAGGAAGAGGAGGAGGACGAGAAAUUGGAAGAGGAGGAAGACGAGGAGGAGCUGCCCCAGGAAGGGGACAGCAGCUGGGGACGGGUGUUCUCCAUGACCGAGUCCUUUGAGGACAAGCUCCUGGCCCAGCUGGAGGAGUACGAGCGCACGCUGCUGGGGUUCCAGGGCGAGCUGGAGGCCCUCCGGCUCAAGUACUGCCUCGCCACAGGAACCAUCGUGUCCUUGCAACGGCAGCUGACUUGUCAAGAGUCCCAGAUGCAAAAGGUCAGCUCCCAGAACGAGGCGCUGCACAAGGAGCUCCGCGAGCGGAAGCAGCAGCUGCAGGCCAUGUCCAGCAAGUUCUCCAGACUCCGGGAGGAUAAGAAGCACCAGGAGGUGAUGGGGCUCAUCGAGAUGGACAACCUCGGCCUUCGCCAGCACACGUCAGGCCUGGAGCGGGAGCUUGCGAAGCGGGAUGUCACCAUCGCGGAGCUGACCGCCAAGGUCAGCCAGCUGCAGGCGCAGGUCAGCUUGGAGCAGGAGCACAAACAGCGGUGGCGACAGCUGCAGGAGGACGUGCAGGGCAGGCAUGAGUCCAUGCAGCAGGCGGAGCUGCAGGCCCAGGUGGCCCUGGAGAGCACCCAGGCCAGGCUCGAGCGGUUGAGGGACAAGAUCAUGCAGGCGGCCUUCAGCGUCACGGGGGUGAGGGCACUCUCUGUGGAGAUCUCCGACAGCGACAUUCUGGAGGCCCUGCAGAGAAUCAUCUCAGAGAGGAAUGACUACUACCACCAGCUGAAGCAGACCGGGGCCAAGGUGCACCCCCCGCAGCAGGUGGAGAUCCUGCCCAGCAAGUCCAAGAAGACGCUGUCCAAGUAGGCUGGUGGCUGGAUGUGGCCGCAUGGGGAGCCAGCCCCUUCCCAUGUCCGACAGAGGAGUAAACCUGGUGUCUUCACCUCUUCCUCUCUCUGUACCCGGGCCUGGGCAUGCGCACUCCAGAGACUGCUGGGAGGAGCAGCACACUAACCCAGGGUCCUUGUUCCUUCCGUGGGGACCUAGCUGAUCUGGGUCCCCUCCCGGCUCCCAGUCCCGAGCUCACACCCACCAGGGGUGCCUCCUGCUAUGGGGCUCAGAUGGUCAGGCCACUCCCUUUCCCGCGGGACCCUGGGGACAGGUGUGUAUGGGGGGGCUCCUCCCACCGUCCUCUGCAGCAGCCCUGACUGUUGAUCCAAGAACGUCCUGCGGGACCCUAGGCUCCCGCAACAAGAAGCUGCACGGGGGCCAGUGGCAGGUGCCGGCCGGUGGAGGUCGGUCAAAGGGAGGAGUGCAGCGGAGUGUGAACCAGCCCGGGCCUCCUGGGGAGUCCUGCGCGCUCCAGGGAUCAGGGGAAGGAGGGGUUCUCUGCAGACCCCGCUGGCUGCCCAUCCUUCUCCACCAAAGGGUCAGGGUUGCCCGGCCCGGCCUGGCUGAAGGUGGUGUCCCGCCCUCUAGCCAGGGACCUGGGCCAGGGCUGCAGUUGCGAUCCCCGGCCCCG
ensembl:lincRNA